AUCUUGUCAGCUCCUUUUAAAUGCAUUAGCAGGACUUUGCAGGACUAGCUUCAGUUUGAUACAUUUUGGUUAUCUGAGCUGUUGUAGAGAAUUGCAUCAUGGUCUUGCUUUCAAAUUGUCCCACUGUGGACUUUGUCAUUUGGACAAAUUAUAAUAUCAAACUGGACCUCAAAUCAGGUAGGACUACCCGCUGAACUUAA
rnacentral:misc_RNA from 1 species